UUUUUCACUUUUCUAACAAGAUAGCGUUGAAAAUUCAAAUAACAAACGCCUAUAAUCAAUUGCCAAAAAAACCCUUUCAAAACAGAAGAUCUAAAAUUUCCAGUGAAAAAUGUUGUGCCCACCAGGUUCGACACCUUGUUGUCCCUUCUACUAUUCCUCUUGUUGCUAUCCUGUAUGCACUCCGUGUAUACCUUGCUGUGUGCCCUGUUAUUCCAUGGCACCAUGCUGUCCUCCGUAGAGCUGAGUUACAAGUAGUGGAAAUUUAGACACGGCAACCGACGUAAAUACCCUUAAUCAUGUAAUUUAAAAAAAACCUUACUUAGAAAAUGGUGUAUUGGUGAAUAAAGUUUCAUUUGUUGGUCA